UACGUAGGCAGCAAGCGUUGUUCGGAGUUACUGGGCGUAAAGGGUGUGUAGGCGGUUGUUUAAGUUUGGUGUGAAAUCUCCCGGCUCAACUGGGAGGGUGCGCCGAAUACUGAAUAACUAGAGUGCGGGAGAGGAAAGUGGAAUUCCUGGUGUAGCGGUGAAAUGCGUAGAUAUCAGGAGGAACACCGGUGGUGUAGACGGCUUUCUGGACCGUAACUGACGCUGAGACACGAAAGCGUGGGUAGCAAACAGG
rnacentral:rRNA from 1 species